rnacentral:rRNA from 1 species
GACGAACGCUGGCGGCGUGCUUAACACAUGCAAGUCGAACGGGCCUUGUCCCCUUUUUUUUGGGGGUGGGGUUAGUGGCGAACGGGUGAGUAACACGUGAGUAACCUGCCCCUCACUUCUGGAUAACCGCUUGAAAGGGUGGCUAAUACGGGGUGUUCUGGCCUGCUCGCAUGGGUGGGUUUGGAAAGAUUCGACCGGUUUUGGUUGUUUUGGUGGGGGAUGGGCUCGCGGCCUAUCAGCUUGUUGGUGGGGUGAUGGCCUGCCAAGGCUUUGACGGGUAGCCGGCCUGAGAGGGUGGGCGGUCACACUGGGACUGAGACACGGCCCAGACUCCUACGGGAGGCAGCAGUGGGGAAUAUUGCACAAUGGGCGCAAGCCUGAUGCAGCGACGCCGCGUGAGGGAUGGAGGCCUUCGGGUUGUGAACCCCUUUCGCCAGUGAAGAAGGUCCUGCUCUUUGUGGUGGGGUUGACGGUAGCUGGGUUAAUGAAGCGCCGGCUAACUACGUG